UACAGAGGGGGCAAGCGUUGUUCGGAAUUACUGGGCGUAAAGGGCGCGUAGGUGGCCUUCUAAGUCGAACGUGAAAUCCCUGGGCUCAACCCAGGAACUGCGUCCGAGACUGGGAGGCUUGAAUCCGGGAGAGGGAUGCGGAAUUCCAGGUGUAGCGGUGAAAUGCGCAGAUAUCAGGAGGAACACCGGUGGCGAAGGCGGGUCUCUGGGCAACAACUGACGCUGAGGAGCGAAAGCGUGGGGAGCGAACAGG
rnacentral:rRNA from 1 species